rnacentral:lncRNA from 1 species
GUAGCCAGUGUGGCGCCAGGCCGGUAUCUUCCGCCGCUAUAGGCAGGUGCACCCGAGGGGAGAUCCCUCCUGCGCCUUCCGCCUCGCCCUCUUCUUCCGUGUCCACUGCCACCUCUUCUGAAGCACACAAAUAUCUUUAUAAUAUAUUCACGCAGGGCUGUAGCUCGUCCUCGUCUACACAGUAAUAGAUGAACUCAGCAGUUGGCAAGGCACCAGGGCUCUGAGCCUGCAUCUGGACAAGUCGAUAAGAAAGCAUGAAUGCUCUCCUUUUCAGUGGCAAUGGGAAGUUCAGAUCACACAAUAUCAAUCAACCUGACCUGAUGAGGACCCCACCCUGCUCUCCCCAGAAAGCUUCGCUAUGCUUGCUCACAUGACUGGAGGUUGAACAGCUGUUGGCUGAUCUUAGAUAACCUUGACCUGGACCAGUAGGAAGACUCACAUCUUCCUAGAAGUGAUCCACAUCUCUAGCAUCUCUUCUUCUUAUGGGGAAUGAUGGGUUAGCUUGUGUGUCAAGGACUGGAAUGUUUGUGUCCCCUUAAAAUUUAUGUUGAAAUCCU